GUCCAAAUAGUUUUUAAAAGUUUAUUUCUUCUUUGGCAUCCUCAGCCACAGUGUUCACAGGUGUUUUUCACAACAGCGAAUUCAGCGAAGUCUCUCUCCAGUGUAUUUCAUUCCCUGUAAGAUGAGACUUUGACCUGAUAUCGUGACAGUCACACAGGACCUGCCUACAUGAAUACAUAGGGAUGAAAAACCAUAUGAAAGAACCUGCACACUGCAAAGGGCAGAGGCUUGUGGGUACAAACUCUCCUGCUCUAGGUGAGCACAUGGCCCAGGGAACCCCAGCAGACAUUCUCUGGGUUGGGCUUAUUCCAGCAAGAAUCCAUUGUCUAUCUCUCAUAUAUGCUUAGCGCAAUGAAACACAAAAUUCCACAGAAGCAGCAUUUGUCAGGCAGGUGCUCACCUUGAGCCACAAACACGAAGGUAGCUGGAUUUUUUUUUUCAUUUUUUUUAUGACAGUAUAAGUGUUACAGUUCAGCAUAAACAGAUUUUUAUUGGAUUUUUUUCCCAGAAAUGAUAUGUUUACAAAACACGUGAAUAUAAUUUUUAAAAUGGAUCUGAGCAAGGACAUAUUGAAGGUUGUUAGAGUUUGCAGUCCCUUUCUUUUCUUUUUCUUUUUCUUUUUUUUGAGACAGGGUCUCACUCUAUUGCCCAGGCUGGAGUGCAAUGGCGCGAUCUCUGCUCACUGCAACCUCCACCUCCCAGGUUCAAGCGAUUUCCCUGCCUCAGCCUCCUGAGUAGCUGGGAUUACAGACAUGUGCCACCAUGCUUGGCUAUUUUUGAUGUUUUUUUUUUUUUAGUAGAGACAGGGUUUCACCAUGUUGGCCAGGCUGGUCUCGAACUCCUGACCUCAAGUGAUCUGUCUACCUCGGCCUCACAAAGUGCUGGGAUUACAGGCGUGAGCCACUACACCCACCCCCUUUCUUUUUUCAAAAAAUCAAAUUAUGUGUGGAACAACCUGUGGCCUGAAUAACAUGGUAGCUGGACAUGGGAUGAAUUGAUACAAUAUUGCAGAUGACUGUAUUAGGAAUCCUGCAGCCCACCACUGCCUCCAACAAGACCUGCAUGUUUGGUAAUGUUUAUUUUUAGAAGCAAAAGUGGCUGGCGAUUUAAUUUAAGCAGAACAACUCAAACUUUAUUGUGUGUGUCAAUUAGGAGAAAACAUUUUCUGGAUUUUUCUGUCAACAAACCUAUGCGGACAACACAUUUUGCCUCCCUUGUAGUUAAAAAGACUUGCUUUCCUCUUUCUUCAACUUCUCUUCCCUUAGUACUGGCAUCCUCCCUGUUUCUUUGGUAUCCUUAUCAAAUUCACUGUCAUUAAGAAGCUCUCUUUUAUACUAGAGUGUCAAUGGUUGAUAUCUUCAGUAAGCAUUAUCUCACUUCAAGGUACUGGCAUUUUAACAGGAAUCAAAGGCUAAAGCCAAAGGUGUUUAGUAAAAGGUGAGAUGUGGAGGGGUGGGGAUGGAAGCUUUCCCUGGACAACAAUCUCCUGAAGUCCAACCCAGAGGCAGGGUGUACAUUGUGAGUGUCAGUGCCUGGCUUGUUUGCCUGUGCGGAUGUGGCAGCCAUGGACACUGGCUAGCAUAUGGACACCUUGCCUGGGGCGCCUGGUGGGAGGUGUCCAG
rnacentral:lncRNA from 10 species